rnacentral:snoRNA from 1 species
AUCCUUUUGUGGUUUAUAAGCAUGAUGAUUGGGUUUUCAUGCUCAUGUGUGAGAUGUGCCUCUCUCAAGCCUUGUUACAUCACAUUACCUGUCUGACG